CUUCCCUCUCCUUACUCCAUGUACUCUGUAUCAGUUGAGUGCAUUGGCAUUACUGGGGGAUACAAUAUUAUAGCUCUACUUCAUUUCCAGAUUGGCAGUUAUGACCAAUAAUGGGCCUGGAGCAGAGCUUACAAU